rnacentral:rRNA from 1 species
GACGAACGCUGGCGGCGUGCUUAACACAUGCCAGUCGAACGGACAGGCCCUGCUUUUGUGGGGUGCUCGAGUGGCGAACGGGUGAGUAACACGUGAGUAACCUGCCCUUGACUGUGGGAUAACUUCAGGAAACUGGGGCUAAUACCGGAUAGGAGCUCCUGCUGCAUGGUGGGGGUUGGAAAGUUUCGGCGGUUGGGGAUGGACUCGCGGCUUAUCAGCUUGUUGGUGGGGUAGUGGCUUACCAAGGCUUUGACGGGUAGCCGGCCUGAGAGGGUGACCGGCCACAUUGGGACUGAGAUACGGCCCAGACUCCUACGGGAGGCAGCAGUGGGGAAUAUUGCACAAUGGGCGGAAGCCUGAUGCAGCAACGCCGCGUGCGGGAUGACGGCCUUCGGGUUGUAAACCGCUUUCGCCGGUGACGAAGCGUGAGUGACGGUAAUGGGUAAAGAAGCACCGGCUAACUACGUG